rnacentral:rRNA from 1 species
UACGGGGGGGGCAAGCGUUGUUCGGAAUUACUGGGCGUAAAGGGCUCGUAGGCGGCCAACUAAGUCAGACGUGAAAUCCCCAGGCUUAACCUGGGAACUGCGUCUGAUACUGGAUGGCUUGAAUCCGGGAGAGGGAUGCAGAAUUCCAGGUGUAGCGGUGAAAUGCGCAGAUAUCAGGAAGAACACCCGUGGCGAAGGCGGCUCUCUGGAACGCAACUGACGCUGAGACGCGAAAGCGUGGGGAGCAAACAGG